rfam:Punica granatum cultivar Dabenzi scaffold123, whole genome shotgun sequence.
GAUGGCGAGAAGAAUGAUGAAUCAAUUAGAUGUGUGAAAGGAGAAAAAAUUGUGAUCGCAACAUCGAGGAUUAUUGAUAUUCUGACUUAUGCCAUC